GUAAAAUGGACCAAUCAGCAGGAUGGGGGGGCGGGGCAAAUAAUGGAAUAAAAGCUGGCCACCCCCUGCGGCAGCGGCAACCCGCUUGAGUCCUGUUCCACGCUGUGGAAACUUUGUUUUUUUUUCUUUGCAAUAAAUCUUGCCACUGGCUCACGGUUUGGGUGAGGCACUGCAUUUAUGAGCUAUGACACUCACUGGAAAGGUCUGCAGGUUCACUCCUGAAGUCAGUGAGACCACAAACCCACCGGGAGGAACGAACAAUCUUGGACGCGCCGCCUUUAAGAGCUGUAAGACUCACUGCGAAGGUCUGCGGCUUCACUUCUGAAGUCAGGAAGACCACGAACCCACCAGAAGGAAGAAACUCUGGACACAUCUUAACAUCUGAAGGAACAAACUCUGGACACACCGUCUUUAAGAAUUGUAACACUUGCUGUGAGAGUCUGCAGCUUCAUUCUUGAAGUCAGGGAGACCAAGAACCCACCAGAAGGAACCAGUUCCGGACGCACUUCCAGCCAGAUGAGUGGCUCUGCAGACUUCCAAAGGAGCCGCUUUCUGUGCAAGUUGGACCAAGUCUGUUUCUCCUGUCCAUGAGGAUAAGGGUCCUGGAUAUCCUAGGUCGCCUGGUGGAGGGGCCCUCGGGAAUCCAACGAUCACCACUGCAAGUCAGCCUCAGCACCAGCACUCAGAUGCAGGGGUGGCUGGCCUCAGGCUUCCUCAGCCCAGGUGCAUGGCCUCUCGCUCAGCUCUUUGUGGCUCAGUCAUUCAUCACUCUGAUCAAACUCAUCUUGACAAAGGACAAAGCAAUACCUUCGAUCCUGCUUUUUAGCAGCCAUCCUGGCAGCCUGUGACUGCUCAGCCUCCCAAAGGCAGGACCAGGUCCAGGACCCACCCGAAUUCCUGGACAGAGCUCGACUGUCAGCUUGAGGCUUCCUGGGCUGGGCCAAAUGCAAAGAAACCCAGGGGUCCUCUGCAUCCUGAGCCUGGCGCCAACCUGCAGUAGCAACAUGAGUGAGGCCCAGGAGCCUGCCAGGACUGGGUUUACGCCCCAGAGCCGCCACUCACUACUCAUCAGCUGGACAAAGAGCUUCUCUGAGUUUCAGUUUCCAGAUCUGCAAAAUAGGUGUAACAAUCCCUGUGUCUGAGCAUCUGCAGGGAGAUCAAAUUCUCGUCUCUGGAACAUGACAGCUUCCAAAUCUGAGCCAUCCUGUCACUUCUCUUGGGUCAAUUGGGGUUUCCACGAUGUCACCCCAUCAGACUGUCACUAACAUGGCCUGAGAGCCCUGGGCUCGGGGACUGCCAGCAUGGUAGGUUUCCCUCCCCGUACUCCUGCCGUUACUUCCCUGAUUUCCUGGGGAGUUCUGAGUGGUGCAGUCUUAGGGCAGGAUACAAGCUUUGGGUCUCAGGAUGGCUGUCCACUUCUGCUGGAUCUGGGGUGCACCCUUACAGUCUGAAUUUCUAGAAAAAGGCAUAAUCAAACCCCCUGCAGAACUUUCACGGGAUCCCAUUCAAAUAAAACAGGGUGGAGGGACACGUUGAGAUGUUUGGAAAUAUCUGAAUAAGGGUGGGAUAUGGGGUUAUUUUAGGGAAUUCAUUGUUCAUAGGGAAUUCACUGUUCAUUGUCCCAGCCGUGAUAGCAUGGAAGAACAGCCCAAAGGGUCAUAAGAUAGUUCAGGAAAGAGCUUUACAAGUCAAAGUGACAGAGCAGCAGGUCCCCAACACUUUUGACACCAGGGACCAGGUUUAGUGGAAGACAAUUUCUCCAUGGACUGGAAUCAGGCUGGGGGUGGUUUUGAGAUGAUUCAAGCACAUUACAUUUAUUGUGCACUUUAAUUCUAUUAUUAUUAACUUGUAAUAUAUAAUGAAAUAUUAUACAACUCACCAUAAUGUAGAUCAGUGGGAGCCCUGAGCUUGUUUUCCUGCAACUAGACAGUCCCAUCUGGAGGUGAUGGAAGACAGUGACAGAUCAUCAGGCAUUAGAUUCUCAUAAGGAGCACGGAACCUAGAUCCCUCGCACACACAGUUCACGGUACGGCUCACGCUCCUAUGAGAAUUCAGUGCUGCUGCUGAUGUGACAGGAGGUGGAGCUUAGGUGGUAACGUGAGCAAUGGGGAGCAGCUGUAAAUACAGAUGAGGCUUCACUCGCUCACCAGCCUGCUCCGUGAGGUUGGGGACCCGUCAGAUACAGCAUUUAUGACCACAUGAUAACCACAGCUGAAUCCAGGUGGUGGGAUACACAGCUGCUUCAUUGUACCAAUCUCAACUUUUUCAUGUAUUUGAAAUUUUUCAUUAGAAGAGAGUAAAUUUUUUGG
rnacentral:lncRNA from 1 species